rnacentral:rRNA from 1 species
CUACGGGCCGCACCAGUGGGGAAUAUUGCACAAUGGGCGCAAGCCUGAUGCAGCAACGCCGUGUGAGUGAUGAAGGUCUUCGGAUUGUAAAACUCUGUCCUAUGGGAAGAAAAAAAUGACGGUACCAUAGGAGGAAGCCCCGGCUAACUACGUGCCAGCAGCCGCGGUAAUACGUAGGGGGCAAGCGUUAUCCGGAAUCACUGGGCGUAAAGGGUGCGUAGGCGGCCUAUCAAGUCAGAGGUGAAAGGCAUUGGCUCAACCAAUGUAAGCCUUUGAAACUGUUAGGCUUGAGUGCAGGAGAGGUAAGUGGAAUUCCUAGUGUAGAGGUGAAAUUCGUAGAUAUUAGGAGGAACACCAGUGGCGAAGGCGACUUACUGGACUGUAACUGACGCUGAGGCACGAAAGCGUGGGGAGCGAACAGGAUUAGAUACCCGGGUAGUC